AAAAAUCGAAAAAUCCAAAAAAGAGAAACCCGAUGCGAUUCCAACGGUCGCCGUUUAAGAAACCCUUUUCACACACUCACAAGCUUACUCUUGGGCUUCCUUAUAAUGAGCCCAUUUAUUUAUUGUUUCAGGGUUUAGGCUCAUUCAAAUCUUUUGCCAGCUUUGGCUUUUCAGUUUAAAAACAUUUUCAAAAGGACGUGUCAGUCUCGAAGCCUCCC
rnacentral:lncRNA from 1 species